rnacentral:rRNA from 1 species
CUGUGAAGAUGCAGUGUACCCGCGGCUAGACGGAAAGACCCCGUGAACCUUUACUACAGCUUGGCACUGAACAUUGACCCUACAUGUGUAGGAUAGGUGGGAGGCUUUGAAGCAGGUACGCCAGUAUCUGUGGAGCCGUCCUUGAAAUACCACCCUUGUAGUGUUGAUGUUCUAACGUCGACCCCUAAUCGGGGUUGCGGACAGUGCCUGGUGGGUAGUUUGACUGGGGCGGUCUCCUCCCAAAGAGUAACGGAG